rnacentral:lncRNA from 13 species
CUCUAUACCAGGCGGUGUCAGAGGAAGGCCCUAAAAUGUGUUAAAGACUCCAGCCACCCUAGUCAUAGACUGUUCUCUCUGCUACCACACAGCAAGCGGUACCGGAGCGCCAAGUCUAGGUCCAAGAGUCUUCUAAACAGCUUUUACCCCUAAGCCAUAAGACUCCUGAACAUCUAAUCAAAUGGCCACCCAGACUAUUUGCAUUGCCACCACCCCUCUUUUAUACCGCUGCUACUCUCUGUUGUUAUCAUCUACAGUAUAUAUAGUCAUUUUAAUAACUCGCCCUACAUGUACAUAUUACCUCAACUAACCGGUGUCCCCGCACAUGGACUCUCUACUCCCCUGUAUAUAGUCUCGCUAUUGUUAUUUACUGCUGCUCUUUAAUUCAAUUAUACUUUUAUUUGUUAUUGUUAUUCGUAUCAAACACCUGCAUUUUGUGACUAAUAAAAUGUGAUCUGAUUUGAAUUUCAGGAUCUGAAUGGUAGUUUGAUCAUAGCACUCCUCUCACAGCUAUACAAGUAUUCCCUGAAUUUACUCAGUUUGUUUGGAAUGGGAAGUAUACCCAGCAUACCUCCAGCAGAAGGAUUGGCCUGCUAGAGUUGUAAUGCGUUUGUAGCCUACAUUGUGUGUGACUUAUAUAUAACAUUUGCUAACAUGAGUACACAUUGCAUACAAUGGUGUAAGUUUCAUUUUUUACCUUUAUAAACUCAACUUGCGUCUGUAAAUAUCUGUAUUCAUUAUACUAUUAUUAUUUCCGUAGCCUAGGCUACACUAAUGGUCACGUUCCAAGCCCUAUGCCUGUAAAGUGAUUUGAACGCCAAUCGGCUGCACUCCGGUACUGUACCUGCACCACGAAUAUGACAUCGUUUUUCCUCUAUAUAACCAUUAUAUUUGUUACGCUACUUGGGCGUACCUAUAAUGGUUUGGAAGAGAACCAUAAACCAACCACUGAAUUAAAUUGUAAUGACGGUCCUAGACACAUAUGUACUAACACAGAUUGUAGCUGGACUGGCUUCUUGAAAGACGUUGUAUUUGAUUGCCCGCUUGAUAAUGACAAGUUUCAAUGUUCAGUGGAGACGGAUGAAGUAAAGAAAAACCAGGAAGAACAACAAACAGUACCAGUGGCACCGAUAUGCAAAGACAAUAGAAGCUGUGGAUUCCCUACAACAUUUGUCGGUGAAAGUGUAAGAUGCACCAUACAUAUGCAAACACAACUACCAGCAACAUCAAGAGAACCAGACAAUCUGAAGAAUGAAACAGAGCCAAAACACAAUAUACCCUGGUGGAUUUGGUUAAUCAUUUGCCUUUGCCUUUGGCAUUAGCGUUGGCAUUGGUGUUGGGAUUUGGAUUAAUCGAUGUCAGAAGAAAAAGGAUUCAUUUGAGACACGUGAUGAGGCGUAUAUAGAAGUGGAUGGAAUGGUAUAAAAAACGAAUGAGGUGGUAUUAUUGCAGGGGUUAACCUAUGGGUGCACUAGUAUGAGCCAUCAUCAGCCAGCAGGCUAUUUUAAUACUAAUCUCAUUGGGGUAAAUUAAUAAAAUGUUUUAAAAGAUAAAUCAAAUCUGCAUGGAUUAGUGUUUGCCAUCAUGUGUGAUGCAGUGAUAAAACACCUGAAAGAAUGCCUACAUUAACAUACAGUACCGGUCAAAAGUUUGGAGACACCUACUCAUUCCAGGGUUUUUCUUAAUCUUUUACUAUUUUAUACAUUGUAGAGUAAUAGUAAAGAAGACAUAAAAACUAUGAAAUAACACAUAUGGAAUCAUGUAGUAACCAAAAAAAGUGUUAAACAAAUCCAAAGAUUUGAAAUUCUUCAAAGUAGCCACCCUUUGCCUUGAUGACAGCUUGGCACGCUCUUGGCAUUCUCUCAACCAGCUUCAUGAGGAAUGCUUGAAGAAGUUCCCACAUAUGCUGAGCAGUUGUUGGCUGCUUUGCCUCCACUCUGCGGUCCAACUCAUCCCAAACAAUCUCAAUUGGGUUGAGUUCGGGUGAUUGUGGAGGACAGGUCAUCUGAUGCAGCACUCCAUCACUCUCCUUGGUCAAAUAGACCUUACACAGCUUGGAGGUGUGUUUUGGGUCAUUGUCCUGUUGAAAACAAAUGAUAGUCCCACUAACCUUACAGUGAAAUGCUUACUUACAGGCCCCUAACCAACAAUGCAGUUUAAAAAAUAUGAAUAAGAAUAAGAAAUAAAUGUAACAAGUAGCUAAAGAGCAGCAGUAAAAUAACAAUAGCAAGACUAUAUACAGGGGGUACCGGUACAGAGUCAAUGUGCACUGGUUAGUUGAGGUAAUAUGUACAUGUAGGUAGAGUUAUUAAAGUGACUAUACAUAGAUAAUAACAGAGUAGCAACGGCAUAAUAGGGGGGG